rnacentral:rRNA from 1 species
GGCCCGCACAAGCGGUGGAGUAUGUGGUUUAAUUCGACGCAACGCGCAGAACCUUACCCAGGCUUGACAUCCUCGGAACCUGAUGGAAACAUCGGGGUGUCCCCUCACGGGGAAGCCGAGUGACAGGUGCUGCAUGGCUGUCGUCAGCUCGUGUCGUGAGAUGUUCGGUUAAGUCCGGCAACGAGCGCAACCCCUGUCGUUAGUUGCCAUCAAUUCGGUUGGGCACUCUAGCGAGACUCCCGGUGUUAAGCCGGCGGAAGAUGGGGAUGACGUCAAGUCCUCAUGGCCCUUAUGUCUGGGGCUACACACGUACUACAAUGGCAUUUACAGAGGGCAGCAAUACGGCAACGUGGAGCCAAUCCCAAAAAGAAUGCCUCAGUUCGGAUUGGAGUCUGCAACUCGACUCCAUGAAGUUGGAAUCGCUAGUAAUCGCGGAU